ACAAAUUUCCCAAUUUAUUUUUUUUAAUACUAUUUUAUAGAUUUAUGUAGAUAUUUUUUUUUGUGUCGAAACGUCCAUCAUUAGAGGAGCAAGGGUACUAUAGCAUAAAUUAGGAAAUAUUGAAUCCGAGCCGGAUGAGAAUGAGGCAGUAGACAAAGUCUGCCUAUCUCUCACACUAAAAGAGAUAUGUGGCCAUUGAACAAGACCAGACGACCAAAUUACAAACACCACAUCAAAGUACAAAGAUGCAGAAAAGUUAACAAUAACUUACUUUAAUAUCCUUAAUUAGAAAAAAAAAAAAAAAAAAAACUCAAACUACAACCUACAACAAAGUAGAAAGAAGUAGAAAAAGAGACUUAACCAAGUUCCAACUGGUUAAUUAAGAGAUAUGAAGGCAACACUGAGUGAUCCAGGAACCCCUCAAUGUUGGUUAAUUUUGCCCAUAUUGCCAAGUUGUGUGCCGAUAGAGUUCUGAAUUCCUUUUUAAAAGGGGGAAACGAGAACGUCGUUUCAUGAUUCUCUCUGUUAAACAGUGAUUAAUAAUGGUCUUUGAUCUAAUUACAUAAUUAGUUACAAUAUGCUUUUUUAUCUUUACAAUUGAGGCUAUAUACGGUUAUAACAUAUUCUGUUAUGCUCUUGGAAUUGAUGAGCCAAGACUAUAAAUGCACCAUGUUUUUCAUUUGGUAAUUCAAGGAAUACAAAACAUUUAUUUCCUGCACUAUUGUUUUUAUAUUCUAUCAUGGUAUCAGGCCAUUAACAACAGCAUGACUUCUAGUACGACUGAGUCUGGAGGCUCCACACCUCCCGAUCCCCCACAGCCACCUCAGGUUUCACAACUCAACCCUGACACCUCUACCGUCCCUAGCCCUGUGUCCUUUUCUCUACCCACUUCUCUUUCUCAAACCACUACUCUUCCUUCUUUACCCUCAGUCAAUCAACCCUUAGGUGUAAAAUUGGAUGACAGCAACUUUCUUGUCUGGAAGCAUCAACUCUUAAAUAUUGUUAUUGCAAAUGGCCUUGAAUCCUUUCUUGAUGGCUCUUACCUCUGUCCUUCUUUCACAGAUGUUGCUUGCUCUUAGCCCAAUCCGGAGUAUCAUCAAUGGCAGCAGUACAACAGGCUUGUCAUGAGCUGGAUCUAUGCCUCUAUUCAUGAGUCUAUGCUUGGCCAACUUGUCAGCUACACCACUGCAUCUCAGAUCUGACUGGCUCUUGAGCAGAUCUACUCAUCUGCUGCCUUUUCUCGCAUCUCUGAGCUUCGCACCAAGCUCCAAACCAUCAAGAAAGAUGGCCUCACAGCCAUGGCAUAUAUCCAACAGUUUCGCACGGCCUGCAACACUUUGGCCUCUGUUGGUGAACCUGUUCCUCACCAAGAUCAGCUUCUUUAUUUUUUGCAGGGCCUGGGUCGUGAGUACAACUCCUUCAUCGACUCCAUUCACAUUCGGGUCCCCAAACCUUCUGUGGAAGAAUUGUUUAUCCUCUUCUUAACUUGUGACACUCGUUUAGAACGCCAGCUUGCUACUGAUUCCCUGAGCUUCCUUCAAGCCAAUAUGGCUCAUCUGCCAAACCAACAAAAAACGCCCAAAACCUCUCAUCCUACACGGUUCUCUCCUUUUAGAGCUCACACUCGACCAACACAAUUACCCUCGUCCUUCCCUUGAGCCCCCUACAUCGCGUUGCCCUUCCUCUCCCACUCGCUCUUCUCCCAAACACUCAUAUUGACCCUGUUGCCAAAUCUGCCUCAAGCCUGGUCACACAGCCAAUAUUUGUUAUCACCGUGGCAAUUUUCAGUACCACCCAACCAGCCUCCCCCCAGAAACUUCAACACUACUACCUCUCCCAACCCUACACCUUCAUUUCCACCUCCCUCCACAACUGCAACACCUUCCUCCAUGUCUGACCCACACUGGUACAUGGACUCCAGUGCGUCACAUCACUUCAUACCCGAUCUUAACAUGCUUGACUCUGCAUCUCCUUAUCAUGGGCAUGAUCAGGUAACUGUUGGUAAUGGUAACCCGUCAGAUCCUUCUCAAGGGUCUUCUUGACCAGCUUUGUAUCGCAUUUGUUCUCCCUCCUCCAUCUCUGCUCCUUCCUCUCCUCAAAUUGAUCUUGUCGUUCGCAAUCCUUCGACUUUGUGGCACUACCGUCUGGGGCACCCUUCCAAAGAUGUUGUCUCUUUUUUAAUAUCAUCUUGUAAUCUUUCUUCUGUUAAGCCUCCUUGAAUGGAUUUUUGCUCCUCUUGUCAAUUAGCAAAAUCUCAAAGGCUACCAUUUUCUAAUUCUGUAACUCGGGCUUCUAGUCCCUUUGCUUUAGUUCAUACUGAUUUGUGGGGGCCUUCCCCAGUACCAUCUGUUACUGGUGUUAAGUAUUUUGUUUUGUUUAUUGACGACUAUUCUAGGUUUAGUUGGUUUUAUUUGCUUAAAUUAAAAGAUGAGGCUGUUGGAUUAGCUUAUACAUGAUCUUUAUUUAUUUUCAUGUAUAUAUAAUAUUAAACAAAUUAA